rnacentral:lncRNA from 10 species
UCCCCUUUGGAGAUCACUGGAAACAGCUUCUGGACCACAAAUGGGGUGAACUACUGUAUCGAGAAAGGAGAGAGUAAGACUUGAGAGCUAUCUUUUUAGCUCAGGGUGCAGCUUUGCAAGUCCCCCUGAGUGAUGUCACCCAAUCUCUUGGCUUGAGCGCCACCAUUUUCUCUACAAUUCCUGCCUCCAGCUUGAUCUUCUCAUCUAGGCACCAGACACAGACUUCCAAAUAAGUGUGGAACUGCUUUAGCUGGAAGACCUGAAGCACCUCAAACUCAGCACAGCCAGAGCUAAAACCAUUAUCUUCUUUCUAAAGCCUGUCUUUUGAUUUGUGCUUUUUAUGGACAUUGGUAAAUGUUCUCACUGUUGACAGGUCUAUUGCAUCUUAAAACAUCAGAGUCCUUCAAGUCUUCCUUCUACCUCACUCUAAUAUUUAAUCAUUUCAGGGAUUCUUUUCCCAAAUCUUAAGAAAACUUCAGACACACCGAAAUUGAGGGAUGUUCUACAAAAUAUCUGACACUCCUAAAGAGUGUCAAAGCCAGUAAAAACAAGAAAGAUUGAGUAACUUUCACAGAUUGAAGAUGACUAAGGAGGCACGAUGAAUACAAGCAAGGUCAUACCCUGGACCAGAUCCCUUGAAAGUAAAGGACAUUAGUGGUCAAAUGUGAACGAAAUCUGUAGUUCGUUAAUGGUAAUGUGCCAAUGUUAAUUUCAGUUUUUUACAAAUGUUCUGUGGGUCUAGCAGAUAUAAAGAUUAGGGAAAGCUGGGUGAAAGGCAUAAGGAAACUCUAUGCUAUCUUAGCUACAUUUCUACAAAUCAACAAUUUUUCUAAAACAACAACUAAAAAGCAAAACAAAAA